GACGUAGGGCGCGAGCGUUGUCCGGAUUUAUUGGGCGUAAAGAGCUCGUAGGCGGCUUGUCGCGUCGAAUGUGAAAACUCGGGGCUCAACCCCGCGCUUGCAUUCGAUACGGGCAGGCUCGAGUUCGGUAGGGGAGACUGGAAUUCCUGGUGUAGCGGUGAAAUGCGCAGAUAUCAGGAGGAACACCGGUGGCGAAGGCGGGUCUCUGGGCAGUAACUGACGCUGAGGAGCGAAAGCGUGGGGAGCGAACAGG
rnacentral:rRNA from 1 species